rnacentral:lncRNA from 1 species
AUGGGGCCCUACUCUUCUCUACCCCAGGAAACUCUCCACCCACCCCUCCUUUCCCCCUCACAACCCACACCCUGUCUCCCAGUCUACAGGAACGGGCUGGGAGCAGGAACCUUCCCAGGAGAGGGGGCCCAGCCAGGUGAGAGAGGCAGGGGGGGCCCUGGGGUGCUGGGGAGAGGGGGCGGGGGGAGGAGGGGGCACAGGGCCUCCUGGGGCAGAGUGGGGUCCUGGGGAAGGCCCACUUGUCACUCAGCCUGUUUCUGUCUCUCCGCAGGCCUGGGAAGGGGCCUGAGCCCUCCAAAGCCAGGUGAGCCCCCCCCACCCCAUGCCCCUCCUCUGCCCUGCCCUGCAGCUGCUGCCGCCCAGCCUCUGCCCUCAUGCCUGCUCUUCCCCCCAGGAUACUUGCCAGGGCCCCGGCUGCAGCUCCCAGCAGGAUAUGGCAACGGAAAUGGGUUGAGGGCCCAGUCAGCACCGACUCCGGGCAUCUCCUGGGGACUGAAGCCUCAGAAAGCAGGUGUGACUGCUCUCUGUCCCCACGUCCUAGGACACUGGGGCACUCCUGGGGUCACUCCUCCACUGUCCUUGGGCCCCUGUAGGCUUAGCUGCUCAGGCUCCUCAAGGCCAGGAAGUCCCUCCCCCAGUCUACCCGCAGGCUCUCUCGCUGAAUGCGAAGUCUGUUUUUUCCUGUUCUAUUCCCUGUCGGUAGGGGGUGUCCCUCUGUCCCCCACCCCCAACCCCUCAGGUUCCUACUUGCUCCCUGGUGAGUUAGGGAAAGUCUGGGUACUCUCAGCUGAUCCCCAUUCCCCUCACAGGGUCCCAGCUCCCGAAUGGCUAUGGAGUAGGUACAGAACUGGGUGA